rnacentral:rRNA from 1 species
GACGAACGCUGGCGGUGUGCUUCACACAUGCAAGUCGAACGAGGUAGCAAUACCUAGUGGCGGACGGGUGAGUAACGCGUGGGAAUCUGCCUUUAGAUGGGGGAUAACGAGCCGAAAGGUUCGCUAAUACCGCAUAGGUCGCAAGAUUAAAGGAGUAAUCCGUCUAGAGAUGAGCCCGCGUCCGAUUAGCUAGUUGGUAGGGUAAAGGCCUACCAAGGCGACGAUCGGUAGCUGGUCUGAGAGGAUGAUCAGCCACAAUGGGACUGAGACACGGCCCAUACUCCUACGGGAGGCAGCAGUGGGGAAUUUUACGCAAUGGGCGAAAGCCUGACGUAGCGACACCGCGUGAGCGAAGAAGCCCUUUGGGGUGUAAAGCUCUGUCGGCUGGAACGAAAAAAAUGACGGUACCAGCAAAGGAAGCAUCGGCUAACU